rnacentral:piRNA from 1 species
UUUGUGACUAUUUUGAAGGGUGUUUUUCU